GACGAACGCUGGCGGCGUGCUUAACACAUGCAAGUCGAACGGAGCGAAAUGGAAGCUUGCUUCUAUGGAGCUUAGUGGCGAACGGGUGAGUAACGCGUAAUCAACCUGCCCUUCAGAGGGGGACAACAGUUGGAAACGACUGCUAAUACCGCAUACGAUUCAACUUCGGCAUCGAGGAUGAAUGAAAGGUGGCCUCUAUUUAUAAGCUAUCGCUGAAGGAGGGGAUUGCGUCUGAUUAGCUAGUUGGAGGGGUAACGGCCACCAAGGCGAUGAUCAGUAGCCGGUCUGAGAGGAUGAACGGCCACAUUGGGACUGAGACACGGCCCAG
rnacentral:rRNA from 1 species